GACUUAUUUACAAUGGCUGCCAC
rnacentral:siRNA from 1 species